rnacentral:lncRNA from 1 species
AGUUUCUUUAUCUCAAGAUCUUUAAGUCUAAGUUCUUUUCUUUCAAGAUCCUGAGGAUAAUAAUCAAAGAACUGUUCUUCAUUUUCUCCUUCAGAUUCUUCAAUUACUUUUGGGGAGAAUAUCUCUAUAUUAGUUUCUUCUGGAUAGAAUUCAUCUUCUAUUUCUUUAUGGUAGAUGAAUUCUAUAUCAUCUUGUAUAUCGUUUUGAUCUCAGUCCUCAACUUCAAAGGCAUCA